GACGAACGCUGGCGGCGUGCCUAAUACAUGCAAGUCGAGCGCAGGAAAUCAUCCGAACCCUUCGGGGGGAAGUCGACGGAAUGAGCGGCGGACGGGUGAGUAACACGUAAAGAACCUGCCCUCAGGUCUGGGAUAACCACGAGAAAUCGGGGCUAAUACCGGAUGGGUCAUCGGACCGCAUGGUCCGAGGAUGAAAGGCGCUUCGGCGUCGCCUGGGGAUGGCUUUGCGGUGCAUUAGCUAGUUGGGGGGGUAAUGGCCCACCAAGGCGACGAUGCAUAGCCGACCUGAGAGGGUGAUCGGCCACACUGGGACUGAGACACGGCCCAGACUCCUACGGGAGGCAGCAGUAGGGAAUCUUCCACAAUGGACGAAAGUCUGAUGGAGCAACGCCGCGUGAACGAUGAAGGCCUUCGGGUCGUAAAGUUCUGUUGUAAGGGAAGAACAAGUGCCGCAGGCAAUGGCGGCACCUUGACGGUACCUUGCGAGAAAGCCACGGCUAACUACGUGCCAGCCGCCGCCGUAACAC
rnacentral:rRNA from 1 species